rnacentral:rRNA from 1 species
UAGCACAGGUGCUGCAUGGCUGUCGUCAGCUCGUGUCGUGAGAUGUUCGGUUAAGUCCGCUAACGAGCGCAACCCUUGCUGUGUGUUACAUGUGUCACACGGGACUGCCGGUCUUAAACCGGAGGAAGGUGGGGAUGACGUCAAGUCAGCAUGGCCUUUAUGUCCUGGGCUACACACACGCUACAAUGGCCGGUACAAUAGGUUGCGAAGCCGCGAGGCGGAGCCAAUCCUCAAAGCCGGCCUCAGUUCAGAUUGCAGGCUGCAACCCGCCUGCAUGAAGAUGGAGUUGCUAGUAACCGCAGGUCAGCUAUACUGCGGUGAAUACGUUCCCGGGGCUU